rnacentral:ncRNA from 1 species
GAAAAACAUUAUUGAAUCCCUCAUAUAUGCUAGAGAAUUGGCUCUAGUGUUUCUACCCGGCACCGUAAUGCUGGACUAUGUGGGAAAGCAACUUUUGG